AAACUUCGUAAGGGACGGGACGACGGGCCGACCGAUCCGAAGCGCCGCGCACGGACGCCGCAAGGGCCGGCCGGAGGCUGCGACCGAACGCCGCGCCAGAGGAAGAGCGUGCCGGCUCCGUCGGGGACCAACUGCGCGCGGCACGUCCGACCGAGACGACGGGACGACACGGAAGGCCCGCCGCCAAGACCGCAAAACCGACAAAGGAACCCACGGGGACGC
rnacentral:lncRNA from 1 species